GUGUGCCCCCCCCCCAGCCAUAAUCAUCAGUGGAGCUUACUCUGAACGUUGGGAAUGGUAGGCAACAUGUUAGCCAAAGGCUGUCUGGAAUGGUGACCCAGUUGCAUGCAAAUACAACUUUUAAUAUGAAAAGCUUUUCCUCUGCGGCAGAUGAUGACAAAGCUCCCUUCGAAUUGACUUUGUGUUGUCAGUGACCUCCAUGUACUGAAAACUUCAGUGGCAAUUAAGAAGAACCUGUGGCGUCAGCCCAAAGUUCUGAAGAACCUUGGCUGGAAGCUUUGCAAAAGGAAGUUGACCUGAGAUUUCUACAAGGAGUAAUGAAGAGGAAGAACAAACAAGCAGAAAUCACUGAAACCAAAAACAGGUGAAUGUUUUGAAGUUGACACUAAAUCAGUGUUUCUUGGAGAGUGGAAAUGCUUUUUAUCCCUUAUAAUACAUAAAAUCAUCCCGAGUGUGCAAUAAAUUUCCAUUACGGUGCAGCAUCAGUGAGACUUGGAUCAUCUAGAGAGAUCUGUCACUAAAGCAAAUAGCUAACUAGCAGAAGUGCUGUGUAGCUCUUGACUGUAAAUGAUUAUGAGAUUGUAAAUGGAUUUACAACAUUGAUUUUGCAUAAUAUCAUGAAAUACAGUAUAAUGUGUUCCUUUCUUCUUUCCAUGUUCUAUAACAGAAGUUAAAUACCACACUGAC